rnacentral:rRNA from 1 species
AACGAACGCUGGCGGCGCGCUUAACACAUGCAAGUCGAACGAGAAGGCGUAGCAAUACGCUGGUACAGUGGCGAACGGGUGAGGAAUACAUGGGUAACCUACCCUCGAGUGGGGGAUAACCCGCCGAAAGGCGGGCUAAUACCGCGUACGCUUCCGAUCUUGCGGGAUCGGAAGGAAAGCUGUCCCAAGGGGAUGGCGCUCAAGGAUGGGCUCACGUCCUAUCAGCUUGUUGGAGGGUAACGGCCUACCAAGGCAUCGACGGGUAGCUGGUCUGAGAGGACGAUCAGCCACACUGGCACUGCGACACGGGCCAGACUCCUACGGGAGGCAGCAGUGAGGAAUAUUGCGCAAUGGGCGAAAGCCUGACGCAGCGACGCCGCGUGAGGGAUGACGGCCUGGUUGUAAC